AUUGAACGCUGGCGGCAGGCCUAACACAUGCAAGUCGAACGGUAGCACAGAGAGCUUGCUCUCGGGUGACGAGUGGCGGACGGGUGAGUAACGUCUGGGAAACUGCCCGAUGGAGGGGGAUAACUACUGGAAACGGUAGCUAAUACCGCAUAACGUCGCAAGACCAAAGUGGGGGACCUUCGGGCCUCACACCAUCGGAUGUGCCCAGAUGGGAUUAGCUAGCAGGUGGGGUAAUGGCUCACCUAGGCGACGAUCCCUAGCUGUUCUGAGAGGAUGACCAGCCACACUGGAACUGAGACACGGUCCAGACUCCGACGGGAGGCAGCAGUGGGGAAUAUUGCACAAUGGGCGCAAGCCUGAUGCAGCCAUGCCGCGUGUAUGAAGGAGGCCUUCGGGUUGUAAAGUACUUUCAGCGGGGAGGAAGGCGGUGAAGUUAAUAACUUCACCGAUUGACGUUACCCGCAGAAGAAGCACCGGCUAACUCCGUGCCAGCCGCCGCGGUAA
rnacentral:rRNA from 1 species